AGGAUCCAAGCGUUAUCCGGAAUUAUUGGGUUUAAAGGGUGCGUAGGCGGCCUUUUAAGUCAGUGGUGAAAUACGGCAGCUCAACUGUCGCAGUGCCUUUGAUACUGAAGUGCUUGAAUGCGGAUGAAGACGGCGGAAUGAGACAAGUAGCGGUGAAAUGCAUAGAUAUGUCUCAUAACACCAAUUGCGAAGGCAGCUGUCUAAGUCGUUAUUGACGCUGAUGCACGAAAGCGUGGGGAUCAA
rnacentral:rRNA from 1 species